UUCUAUUUUUAACCGUUGUGCCGAGAUCAGGAUAACGUGCAUUGGUCAUUCUGUUUUGGUUAGAAACGAAAGAUGGAGAAAUGAGAAAGGAACCCAAAAAUAAGAGACGAAGAUAUCACUUGAAACUUUGGGGUGCUCCACAGUACCGAUGGCUUCGAUACCUGUUGGUGAAAGAUGCUUGUUGAAUUGUGUAUCUACAUAGCCCCUCGAAGAGCCUGAGAGCUGAACCUGUCAUGGACCGAUCAGGAAAUGAUGACAUUGUGCAUCCAGGUCACUGUGCAACAGUCCCGGGCUGGGCUGACGUCUUAGUACAUUCACCAGGAAGGAUGGGAAGAGGAAAACAGGAAAUGAGUCAAAUGCAUGCACAGAGGAAUCCGCUCGCUCGCAACCCUUGAGAAGAGCCAGACUCGGAGGUGUUUAUUAUUCCUGUAGAAGGAUGAGGCAUCUGGACACCGUUCCCCGAGGCGACAGGGCUGCGGGCUGUCAGAAAGGGGUGGGGACAGGUGGAAAAAGCUGGUAGCUUAUGACACCGUGUUUAUUUUAACCCGUCCAGGCGGCCCUUGGUUGAUGCAAACUGGUUUCACUCCUAUCGGGUGGACUGAAAGAGCAUCCAGCCUGAAGUCCUCAGACCAGAGUGCGAGUGGGGCAGGAGCUAAAGUCUCCCCCGGGCAGCUUGCAGAUGUAGGGCCCAAUUUUGCAAAGUGUCGUGCAUCUCUCAGGAAGGGGGCAAGCUCCCUCCGUUGGGUGCAAGGGAAGACACUCAAAACCCGGCAGGAUAGGGCCUUGGUAUGUCAUACAGGACCUUCUAGGCUCUGGCCAGAGCCAGGACAGGGUGUGAAUGGCUCUAUAUCCCCCUGUCCCUCAGCGGUACAGAUGUGUUCACAGAGUUAGGGUCUCAAGAUAUGGGGCUCCCUGGAGGCAUUGUGCCCGGUCGGGGAGGGAGUCCUUGGCUGGUGGCCUGAGGCAAUAGCUCCUCCAUAUCCAUGCUUGAGCUUCAAGUCUCUGCUUCUUAGGAGAAGCCUGGUCAUUGGCAACUGGCCUGCACCAGCACUAAAGCAACCAUGUCUCCUCACACUUGGUCUCCAGCCUGCUGGCCAACCAGGCCACAAUCGAGACCCAACACGUUCCCUGUCUUAGUCAUUUCUUCACAGCAGGCAUGUCUACACGUGUAGGGAUGUGGGUUUCAACUUAAUGUGGCUUUGGUUAAGGAGCAUUAAGUGGAUUUAGACACGUUAAAUUUAGGCGCAUUAAAUUUAAGCUGUCAUAGCUAAGUUGCAUUAGCCCACAUGUAGCUGCGCUAACACACGUGAACAUAGAGUGCAUCCACUGAUGCGCUCCAUGCUCAUGUGCAUUGAGCAUGAAAGCUAAUCGCACGUCAGUUAGGUACUUGCUUUAAGCAGUUAUCAAAUUUAGGUGGGGUUAGCCUAAAAUCACCAUUUUUAAGCACAUUAAAGGUGUGCAUGUGUGGGCAUGCACCCUUCACGUGCCUUAAAAAUGGCAAUUUUAGGCUAAUCCCACUUAAAAGGGCCACGUGUAGACAAGCCCAGUCAGAUGGAGUUGGCAGCAGAGCUGGUAUCCAACCCCCUUCACCACACCGCUCUCCUGCCUCUGAGCAGACGGUGGCUGUUUUACUAUGAAAAUAUGAAACUAUGAUACUAUGAAACUGUUGUGCCUGGGCAAUGGGACCUUUUCAGCUUUGUUUUAAAGGAGGGGAAAAGUUGGCCUGCAGGUCCCUGUGUUCUUUCAGGACCCGACAGGGAGCAAAGCCCUGAUUUCAGUUGAGGCCACAGAGAUACUAGUAUGAUAUAACCCUAUUAGUGACUGUCCCAUGCAGGGGUGUGGAUAAAUGAAGGCAUUGCCAUUAGAUAAAAGGGGGCAUGUACUUACAGGCCAGCUGCUUCCCAGUAACAGCAUCUGCCCACCCUUAAUUCAUAGUAAAUAAAAGAUAUAGCAGUUAAUUAGUGCUUUGAGCCUUUGCGUACUACAGGGUAACUGCAGACACAUGAGCAGUUAUCACAGAGCAGAUAAGUCUUUGGCCUCUGUUAACCUACAGGGGCCUGUUACAUAUAUUACGUGUUACGUAUGUCAUGCAAUUAAUGGGUUAAUUGGGCAGUACAUUUAGACCAGCUACACAUAGGAAGUAAUGCUCCCACCAGAAAAGUGACAAUGCAACUAUAAAAAAAAGCUCAGUGCUUGAAAAAUAUACAACAACUCUAUAGCUGGUUUCUAUCCAACUUUGAUUUGAGCACGUGGCAGGGCUCCUAGUGGAAGUGGCUCAUCUGUCCAUACCCUGCAGGUAUUAUUGGAAUAUCACAAAGGAUUCUGGGAGGCAGAUGAGAGAUGCUGCACAGUGCUGACCUGCUGUGUGCUGUAUUUAAAGUGCACUCCAGCAUCUUCUCUAAAGGGUGAGGCUGCUGGGUGCUUCCACCUCUUUACGUUUCCUUUCUUCAAUGACCCUGCCUGUGAGCUCUUGAGAUGAGAAGGAAAAGGAAAAGCAUAACCGUGUUUCCUGAGAUAUGACUCUUAUCAUCACUCUGGGCCUGGGUCAGGAGGAGAGAGGAAGGCAAACCAAUGAGAAAUGGUCCCUGGUACAUCCAAAGCUUUUGCUAAUAAUAAACACAGAAACGGCAAUGAGCCAACAUAGAUCUUCAGGCUGGCCCAGAGAUCUGCAGAGGGUCCCUGAAAUACCCAGCCUGCUGGACUAUUUUUUUUUUUUUUUUGCAGAGGCAACACUUUUAGAAGCCACCUUUAUGGCAAAUAUUGUGGGAUAUCUAUCAAUUCAUUAGGGCACCCAAGCUGCACCCCUAAAUAGCCUCCUAUUGCCAAGAAUACAACACACCAGCUGCAACCUAGUGGCAGCUUUUAACACCAGUCCACUGCUUUUGCCACUGUUUCUUCCUCUGCAUCACACACACACACUCUUCCUCUGGGUCCUGUGGGCAGCUUGAAUUCCAGGUUGCCUCUUUCAGGGGUGUAAGUUGUAGCCGUGUUGGUCUAAGGACAUAGGAAGACAAGGUUUUUUGGCUAAACCCAAUAUCUUUGAUUAGACCAACUAAAAUAGUUAGGGAAAAAAAUCUUUUGUAGCAAGCUUUUGGGCCUGAAAGCUUGCUAAGAAAAAAAAUGUCCAACUAUUUGAGUUGGUCUAAUAAAAAAUAUUGGAUUUACCCAAGUUGCCUUUUUAGCAGCCUCUUCUCUUUGCCUUUCUUGUGAGUGAGAGGGCUGGUAGGGGAGGGGAAGUAUAAAGGGUGAAGAAUUAGUUUUCCCCUCACAAAGCUGCAGGCAGAUUUCACUAUACCUAGGCUGGCCUUAUAAUAGUUAAUCCAGGUAAACUUCUCUGGGAUGCUGUAGUCAGUGAUGGUAAUGCCCUAAACAGGGGGCUGGAUUAGAUGACCACUCAAGGGCCUGGAUAACCCUACUGAGAUUUUGAGAAAUGGAGGAUUCUAAUAAUGCAUACCAAGCACUGCAUAUUAUUGGGAUAGAGAUAUACCAUAUUUUCUAGCAUUUCAUAUGCCCCCCAAAUAAGAAACAUGAUUUCUUUUGAGAAAACUGAACAAGGGAGUGGGAAAAAGAUGUUUCCAGUCACGCUCAGCCAAAAGCUGCUGUCAAUUUGUCAGGAACUGUGAAAAGGUUAAGACUAACUGGGACAUUGCAACUGCAUUUUUCCCCUCUAUUCUUGAUUGGGAAAGGACAGCCCUGGGAGUUAUUACCCAUCUCCAUGCUUUAAUUCUAAUGCAGAAAUCAGCUUCCAGACUUCAGAAAUGUUUCCCAAUUUUAAAUGUCUGUUUUUGGGGAAAAGUUAUGUGCUAUGCAAGUAAAGCUGGCAAGCUGUCAGAAACUGGGCAGUAAACCUUUACAUAGUUCGGGAGCCCUCUAGACACACCUGUUGUGUUCUGUGUUUUGAAACUCUGCCAGAACCCCACCCAAACAAGAGUGCAUUUUACACUGGUAAGAUUUGUAUCUAAUUUGUUAGUAAUUAGUAACCAUGGUUAUUUGGAUCUACUGUAUCUAAGGGAGUCCUUCUUAUUACAUUUAUUCCUUAGGAGCCAAAGGUGCAACAAAUGUAAGUGACGUUAUUUAUUUAUUUAUUUAAGUGACCUACACAAUUUGGUUGACAGCUCAAUUUUUAUAGAUCAUAGAAUCAUAGAAAAUGAGGGUGGAAGGGACCUCAGGAGGUCACAUCUAGUCCAACCCCCUGCUCCAAGCAGGACCAACUCCAACUCCAUCCCAGCCAAGGCUUUGUCUAGCUGGGUCUUCAAUACCUCCAAGGACGGAGAGUCCACCACCUCUCUGGGUGACCUGUUCCAGUGCUUCACCACCCUCCUAGUGAGAAAAUUAUUCCUAAUAUUGAACCUCAACUUCCCUUGCUGCAACUUGAGCACAUUGCUUCU